UAAGGAAUAUUGGUCAAUGGACGCAAGUCUGAACCAGCCAUGCCGCGUGGAGGAUGACGGUCCUCUGGAUUGUAAACUUCUUUUAUCUGGGAAGAAACCCAUAUUUUCUAGUGUGGUUGACGGUACCAGAUGAAUAAGCACCGGCUAACUCCGUGCCAGCAGCCGCGGUAAUACGGAGGGUGCAAGCGUUAUCCGGAUUCACUGGGUUUAAAGGGUGCGUAGGCGGGUUGGUAAGUCCGUGGUGAAAUCUCCGAGCUUAACUCGGAAACUGCCGUGGAUACUAUCAAUCUUGAAUAUCGUGGAGGUAAGCGGAAUAUGUCAUGUAGCGGUGAAAUGCUUAGAUAUGACAUAGAACACCAAUUGCGUAGGCAGCUUACUACACGAUCAUUGACGCUGAGGCACGAAAGCGUGGGGAGCAAACAGGAUUAGAUACCC
rnacentral:rRNA from 1 species